ACGGGUGAGUAAUACAUCGGAACGUGCCCUGUAGUGGGGGAUAACUAGUCGAAAGAUUAGCUAAUACCGCAUACGACCUGAGGGUGAAAGUGGGGGACCGCAAGGCCUCAUGCUAUAGGAGCGGCCGAUGUCUGAUUAGCUAGUUGGUGGGGUAAAGGCCCACCAAGGCGACGAUCAGUAGCUGGUCUGAGAGGACGAUCAGCCACACUGGGACUGAGACACGGCCCAGACUCCUACGGGAGGCAGCAGUGGGGAAUUUUGGACAAUGGGGGCAACCCUGAUCCAGCAAUGCCGCGUGUGUGAAGAAGGUCUUCGGGUUGUAAAGCACUUUUGUCCGGAAAGAAAUCGCACUUACUAAUAUUAGGUGUGGAUGACGGUACCGGAAGAAUAAGGACCGGCUAACUACGUGCCAGCAGCCGCGGUAAUACGUAGGGUCCAAGCGUUAAUCGGAAUUACUGGGCGUAAAGCGUGCGCAGGCGGUUGUGCAAGACCGAUGUGAAAUCCCCGGGCUUAACCUGGGAAUUGCAUUGGUGACUGCACGGCUAGAGUGUGUCAGAGGGGGGCAGAAUUCCACGU
rnacentral:rRNA from 1 species